AGAGUUUGAUCCUGGCUCAGAUUGAACGCUAGCGGGAUGCUUUACACAUGCAAGUCGAACGGCAGCACGAAGAGCUUGCUCUUUGGUGGCGAGUGGCGAACGGGUGAGUAAUGUAUCGGAACGUGCCCAGUAGCGGGGGAUAACUACGCGAAAGCGUGGCUAAUACCGCAUACGCCCUACGGGGGAAAGGGGGGGAUCGCAAGACCUCUCACUAUUGGAGCGGCCGAUAUCGGAUUAGCUGGUUGGUGGGGUAAAGGCCUACCAAGGCGACGAUCCGUAGCUGGUUUGAGAGGACGACCAGCCACACUGGGACUGAGACACGGCCCAGACUCCUACGGGAGGCAGCAGUGGGGAAUUUUGGACAAUGGGGGCAACCCUGAUCCAGCCAUCCCGCGUGUGCGAUGAAGGCCUUCGGGUUGUAAAGCACUUUUGGCAGGGAAGAAACGGCGCGGGCUAAUAACCUGUGCUAAUGACGGUACCUGCAGAAUAAGCACCGGCUAACUACGUGCCAGCAGCCGCGGUAAUACGUAGGGUGCAAGCGUUAAUCGGAAUUACUGGGCGUAAAGCGUGCGCAGGCGGUUCGGAAAGAAAGGUGUGAAAUCCCAGGGCUUAACCUUGGAACUGCACUUUUAACUACCGGGCUAGAGUACGUCAGAGGGGGGUAGAAUUCCACGUGUAGCAGUGAAAUGCGUAGAGAUGUGAGGAAUUACCGAUGGCGAAGCAGCCCCUUGGGAUGAUACUGACGCUCAUGCACGAAAGCGUGGGGAGCAACCAGGAUUAGAUACCCUGGUAGUCACGCCCUAAACGAUGUCAACUAGCUGUUGGGGUUUAUUAAACUUAGUAGCGCAGCCAACCCUGGAAGUGGACCGCUUGGGGAGUACCGUCGCAGAUUAAAACUUCAAGGAAUUGACGGGGACCCCCACAGCGUGUGAAUGAUGUGGUUAAUUUCGAUGCAACGCG
rnacentral:rRNA from 1 species